GAUGAACGCUGGCGGCGUGCCUAAUACAUGCAAGUCGAGCGAACGGACGAGAAGCUUGCUUCUCUGAUGUUAGCGGCGGACGGGUGAGUAACACGUGGAUAACCUACCUAUGAGACUGGGAUAACUUCGGGAAACCGGAGCUAAUACCGGAUAAUAUUUUGAACCGCAUGGUUCAAAAGUGAAAGACGGUCUUGCUGUCACUUAUAGAUGGAUCCGCGCUGCAUUAGCUAGUUGGUAAGGUAACGGCUUACCAAGGCAACGAUGCAUAGCCGACCUGAGAGGGUGAUCGGCCACACUGGAACUGAGACACGGUCCAGACUCCUACGGGAGGCAGCAGUAGGGAAUCUUCCGCAAUGGGCGAAAGCCUGACGGAGCAACGCCGCGUGAGUGAUGAAGGUCUUCGGAUCGUAAAACUCUGUUAUUAGGGAAGAACAUAUGUGUAAGUAACUGUGCACAUCUUGACGGUACCUAAUCAGAAAGCCACGGCUAACUACGUGCCAGCAGCCGCGGUAAUACGUAGGUGGCAAGCGUUAUCCGGAAUUAUUGGGCGUAAAGCGCGCGUAGGCGGUUUUUUAAGUCUGAUGUGAAAGCCCACGGCUCAACCGUGGAGGGUCAUUGGAAACUGGAAAACUUGAGUGCAGAAGAGGAAAGUGGAAUUCCAUGUGUAGCGGUGAAAUGCGCAGAGAUAUGGAGGAACACCAGUGGCGAAGGCGACUUUCUGGUCUGUAACUGACGCUGACGUGCGAAAGCGUGGGGAUCAAACAGGAUUAGAUACCCUGGUAGUCCACGCCGUAAACGAUGAGUGCUAAGUGUUAGGGGGUUUCCGCCCCUUAGUGCUGCAGCUAACGCAUUAAGCACUCCGCCUGGGGAGUACGACCGCAAGGUUGAAACUCAAAGGAAUUGACGGGGACCCGCACAAGCGGUGGAGCAUGUGGUUUAAUUCGAAGCAACGCGAAGAACCUUACCAAAUCUUGACAUCCUUUGACAACUCUAGAGAUAGAGCUUUCCCCUUCGGGGGACAAAGUGACAGGUGGUGCAUGGUUGUCGUCAGCUCGUGUCGUGAGAUGUUGGGUUAAGUCCCGCAACGAGCGCAACCCUUAAGCUUAGUUGCCAUCAUUAAGUUGGGCACUCUAAGUUGACUGCCGGUGACAAACCGGAGGAAGGUGGGGAUGACGUCAAAUCAUCAUGCCCCUUAUGAUUUGGGCUACACACGUGCUACAAUGGACAAUACAAAGGGCAGCGAAACCGCGAGGUCAAGCAAAUCCCAUAAAGUUGUUCUCAGUUCGGAUUGUAGUCUGCAACUCGACUACAUGAAGCUGGAAUCGCUAGUAAUCGUAGAUCAGCAUGCUACGGUGAAUACGUUCCCGGGUCU
rnacentral:rRNA from 1 species